GGGAAUAUUGCACAAUGGGGGAAACCCUGAUGCAGCGACGCCGCGUGAGCGAUGAAGUAUUUCGGUAUGUAAAGCUCUAUCAGCAGGGAAGAAAAUGACGGUACCUGACUAAGAAGCCCCGGCUAACUACGUGCCAGCAGCCGCGGUAAUACGUAGGGGGCAAGCGUUAUCCGGAUUUACUGGGUGUAAAGGGAGCGUAGGCGGUUCAGCAAGUCAGAAGUGAAAGCCCGGGGCUCAACUCCGGGACUGCUUUUGAAACUGUUGAACUAGAUUGCAGGAGAGGUAAGUGGAAUUCCUAGUGUAGCGGUGAAAUGCGUAGAUAUUAGGAGGAACACCAGUGGCGAAGGCGACUUUCUGGACAGUAACUGACGUUGAGGCACGAAAGUGUGGGGAGCAAACAGG
rnacentral:rRNA from 1 species